rnacentral:rRNA from 1 species
UACGUAUGGUGCAAGCGUUAUCCGGAUUUACUGGGUGUAAAGGGAGCGUAGGCGGCGAUGCAAGUCAGAAGUGAAAGCCCGGGGCUCAACUCCGGGACUGCUUUUGAAACUGUGGAGCUUGAGUGAAGUAGAGGUAGGCGGAAUUCCUAGUGUAGCGGUGAAAUGCGUAGAUAUUAGGAGGAACACCAGUGGCGAAGGCGGCUUGCUGGACUGUAACUGACGUUGAGGCUCGAAAGCGUGGGGAGCAA